AGAGUUUGAUCCUGGCUCAGAUUGAACGCUGGCGGCAUGCCUAACACAUGCAAGUCGAACGGUAACGACGGGAGCUUGCUCCCGGGCGACGAGUGGCGGACGGGUGAGUAAUACUUAGGAAUCUGCCCAGUAGUGGGGGACAACUCGAGGAAACUCGAGCUAAUACCGCGCAUACGCCCUACGGGGGAAAGCGGGGGAUCUUCGGACCUCGCGCUAUUGGAUGAGCCUAAGUCGGAUUAGCUUGUUGGUGAGGUAAAAGCUCACCAAGGCGACGAUCCGUAGCUGGUCUGAGAGGACGAUCAGCCACACUGGGACUGAGACACGGCCCAGACUCCUACGGGAGGCAGCAGUGGGGAAUAUUGGACAAUGGGGGCAACCCUGAUCCAGCCAUGCCGCGUGUGUGAAGAAGGCCUUAGGGUUGUAAAGCACUUUCAGUAGGGAGGAAAAGUUAGUCGUUAAUAACGGCUAACCCUGACGUUACCUACAGAAGAAGCACCGGCAAACUCCGUGCCAGCAGCCGCGGUAAUACGGAGGGUGCGAGCGUUAAUCGGAAUUACUGGGCGUAAAGAGUACGUAGGUGGUUAAAUCAGUCGGAUGUGAAAGCCCCAGGCUUAACUUGGGAAUUGCAUUCGAUACUGUUUGACUAGAGUACAGUAGAGAGAAGCGGAAUUCCUAGUGUAGCGGUGAAAUGCGUAGAUAUUAGGAAGAACACCAGUGGCGAAGGCGGCUUCUUGGAUUGAUACUGACACUGAGGUAAGAAAGAGUGGGGAGCAAACAGGCUUAGAUCCACUGGUCGUCCACGCCCUAAACGAUGAGAACUAGAUGUUGGAGGAAUAAUCCUUUAGUAUCGUAGCUAACGCGAUAAGUUCUCCGCCUGGGGAGUACGGCCGCAAGGUUAAAACUCAAAUGAAUUGACGGGGGCCCGCACAAGCGGUGGAGCAUGUGGUUUAAUUCGAUGCAACGCGAAGAACCUUACCUGGCCUUGACAUCCUUGGAAUUUCGCAGAAACGUGAAAGUGCCUUCGGGAGCCAAGAGACAGGUGCUGCAUGGCUGUCGUCAGCUCGUGUUGUGAAAUGUUGGGUUAAGUCCCGCAACGAGCGCAACCCCUAUCCUUAUUUGCCAGCGAGUUAUGUCGGGAACUCUAAGGAGACUGCCGGUGAUAAACCGGAGGAAGGUGGGGAUGAUGUCAAGUCAUCAUGGCCCUUAUGGGUAGGGCUACACACAUGCUACAAUGGUCAGUACAAAGGGUCGCGAAGCCGCGAGGUGGAGCUAAUCCCAAAAAGCUGUUCGUAGUCCGGAUUGGAGUCUGCAACUCGACUCCAUGAAGUCGGAAUCGCUAGUAAUCGUGAAUCAGAACGUCGCGGUGAAUACGUUCCCGGGCCUUGUACACACCGCCCGUCACACCAUGGGAGUGAAUUGUACCAGAAGCGGGUAGGCUAACCGAAAGGGGGCCGCUCACCACGGUAUGCUUCAUGACUGGGGUGAAGUCGUAACAAGGUAGCC
rnacentral:rRNA from 1 species